rnacentral:rRNA from 1 species
AACGAACGCUGGCGGCAGGCUUAACACGUGCAAGUCGAGCGCCCCGCAAGGGGAGCGGCAGACGGGUGAGUAACGCGUGGGAACGUGCCCUUUGGUUCGGAACAACUCCGGGAAACUGGAGCUAAUACCGGAUAAGCCCUUCGGGGGAAAGAUUUAUCGCCAAAGGAUCGGCCCGCGUCUGAUUAGCUAGUUGGUGAGGUAAUGGCUCACCAAGGCGACGAUCAGUAGCUGGUCUGAGAGGAUGAUCAGCCACACUGGGACUGAGACACGGCCCAGACUCCUACGGGAGGCAGCAGUGGGGAAUAUUGGACAAUGGGCGCAAGCCUGAUCCAGCCAUGCCGCGUGAGUGAUGAAGGCCUAGGGUUGUAAAGCUCUUUUGUCCGGGAAGAUAAUGACUGUACCGGAAGAAUAAGCCCCGGCUAACUUCGUGCCAGCAGCCGCGGUAAU